rnacentral:rRNA from 1 species
UAGUGGCGAACGGGUGAGUAACACGUGGGCAAUCUGCCCUUCACUCUGGGACAAGCCCUGGAAACGGGGUCUAAUACCGGAUAACACUCUUCNCUGCAUGGGGGAGGGUUGAAAGCUCCGGCGGUGAAGGAUGAGCCCGCGGCCUAUCAGCUUGUUGGUGGGGUGAUGGCCUACCAAGGCGACGACGGGUAGCCGGCCUGAGAGGGCGACCGGCCACACUGGGACUGAGACACGGCCCAGACUCCUACGGGAGGCAGCAGUGGGGAAUAUUGCACAAUGGGCGGAAGCCUGAUGCAGCGACGCCGCGUGAGGGAUGACGGCCUUCGGGUUGUAAACCUCUUUCAGCAGGGAAGAAGCGUGAGUGACGGUACCUGCAGAAGAAGCGCCGGCUAACUACGUGCCAGCAGCCGCGGUAAUACGUAGGGCGCAAGCGUUGUCCGGAAUUAUUGGGCGUAAAGAGCUCGUAGGCGGCUUGUCGCGUCGGAUGUGAAAGCCCGGGGCUUAACUCCGGGUCUGCAUUCGAUACGGGCAGGCUAGAGUGUGGUAGGGGAGAUCGGAAUUCCU